CCUACGGGUGGCUGCAGUGGGGAAUAUUGGGCAAUGGGCGCAAGCCUGACCCAGCAACGCCGCGUGAAGGAAGAAGGCUUUACGGGUUGAAACUUUCUUUCCCAGGGACGUAGAAUGUGACGGUACCGGAGGAAUAAGUCACGUCUAACUACGUGCCAGCAGCCGCGGUAAUACGUAGGUGGCAAGCGUUAUCCGGAUUUAUGGGGUGUAAAGGGAGUGUAGGCGGGAGGGCAAGUCAGAUGUGAAAACUCAGGGCUCAACCCUGAGACUGCAUUUGAAACUGUGUUUCUUGAGUGCUGUAGAGGCAAUCGGAAUUCGGUGUGUAGCGGUGAAAUGCGUAGAUAUACGGAAGAACACCAAUGGCGAAGGCAGAUUGCUAGACAGUAACUGACGCUGAGGCGCGAAAGCGUGGGGAGCAAACAGGAUUAGAUACCCCUGUAGUC
rnacentral:rRNA from 1 species